rnacentral:rRNA from 1 species
CAAUCCAUNAGUAGAGUGGCAAAUUUUUGAGUAACCGCNUGGGCGACCUACCNCAGAGNGGGGGAUAACCUNCCGAAAGGAGGGCUAAUACCGCAUGACAUACCGUGUNUGGAUACACGGAUAUCAAAGCCGGGGAUCGUAAGACCUGGNGCUUGGAGAGGGGCCCGCGUCCGAUUAGCUAGUUGGUGAGGUAACGGCUCACCAAGGCUCCNAUCGGUAUCCGGCCUGAGAGGGCNGCCGGACACACUGGAACUGAGACACGGUCCAAACUUCUACGGGAGGCNGCAGUGGGGAAUUGUUCACAAUGGGCGCAAGCCUGAUGACGCAACNCCNNGUGGAGGAUGAAGACUUUCGGGUCGUAAACUCCUUUCGACCGAGAUGAAUUCCCGCCGGCCUAAUAUGCCGGCGGGGUGACAGUAUCGAGGGAAGAAACCCCGGCUAACUCCGUGCCAGCAGCCGCGGUAAUACGGGGGGGGUAAGCGUUGUUCGGAAUUACUGGGCGUAAAGGGUCUGUAGGUGGCUUGCUAAGUCAGACGUGAAAUCCCUCAGCUUAACUGGGGAACUGCGUNUGAGACUGGCGAGCUUGAUUGCAGGAAAAGGAACGCGGAAUUNCAGGUGUACGGUGAAAUGCGUAGAUAUCUGGAGGAACACCGGUGGCGAAGGCGGNGUUCUGGACUGCAACUGCACUGANAGAC